AUCACUUCUCGGCCUUUUGGCUAAGAUCAAGUGUAGAAAGUCUUUAAGUUUUGGGAAUCUGGCAAGCUCAUGAUGAUAGGUGUAUGUUUUCCCAAAUUCUAAUUUUUGCUUGAAAACUGAAAUUUUAUCAUGGAUAGAAAAUUCUCU
ensembl:snRNA U2 U2 spliceosomal RNA